rnacentral:rRNA from 1 species
UACGAAGGGUGCAAACGUUGCUCGGAAUUAUUGGGCGUAAAGCGCACGUAGGCGGCUUUGUAAGUAAGAGGUGAAAGCCCAGAGCUCAACUCUGGAAUUGCCUUUUAGACUGCAUCGCUUGAAUCAUGGAGAGGUCAGUGGAAUUCCGAGUGUAGAGGUGAAAUUCGUAGAUAUUCGCAAGAACACCGGUGGCGAAGGCGGCCAACUGGACCAUUACUGACGCUGAGGCGCGAAAGCGUGGGGAGCAAACAGG